rnacentral:rRNA from 1 species
CCUACGGGGGGCAGCAGUGGGGAAUAUUGCACAAUGGGGGAAACCCUGAUGCAGCGACGCCGCGUGAGUGAAGAAGUAAUUCGUUAUGUAAAGCUCUAUCAGCAGGGAAGAAAAUGACGGUACCUGAGUAAGAAGCCCCGGCUAACUACGUGCCAACAGCCGCGGUAAUACGUAGGGGGCAAGCGUUAUCCGGAUUUACUGGGUGUAAAGGGAGCGUAGACGGCAGUGCAAGUCUGGAGUGAAAGGCGGGGGCUCAACCCCCGGACUGCGCUGGAAACUGGACGGCUGGAGUGCAGGAGAGGUAAGUGGAAUUCCUGGUGUAGCGGUGAAAUGCGUAGAUAUUAGGAGGAACACCAGUGGCGAAGGCGGCUUACUGGACUGUAACUGACGUUGAGGCUCGAAAGCGUGGGGAGCGAACAGGAUUAGAUACCCCUGUAGUC